rnacentral:rRNA from 1 species
UCGGGUUGUAAAGCACUUUUGUCCGGAAAGAAAUCCUUGGCUCUAAUACAGUCGGGGGAUGACGGUACCGGAAGAAUAAGCACCGGCUAACUACGUGCCAGCAGCCGCGGUAAUACGUAGGGUGCAAGCGUUAAUCGGAAUUACUGGGCGUAAAGCGUGCGCAGGGCGGGUUUGCUAAGACCGAUGUGAAAUCCCCGGGCUCAACCUGGGAAACUGCAUUGGUGACUGGCAGGCUAGAGUAUGGCAGAGGGGGGGUAGAAUUUCCACGUGUAGCAGUGAAAUGCGUAGAGAUGUGGAGGAAUACCGAUGGCGAAGGCAGCCCCCUGGGCCAAUACUGACGCUCAUGCACGAAAGCGUGGGGAGCAAACAGGAUUAGAUACCCUGGUAGUCCACGCCCUAAACGAUGUCAACUAGUUGUUGGGGAUUCAUUUCCUUAGUAACGUAGCUAACGCGUGAAGUUGACCGCCUGGGGAGUACGGUCGCAAGAUUAAAACUCAAAGGAAUUGACGGGGACCCGCACAAGCGGUGGAUGAUGUGGAUUAAUUCGAUGCAACGCGAAAAACCUUACCUACCCUUGACAUGGUCGGAAUCCUGCUG